rnacentral:rRNA from 1 species
AUGCAAGUCGAGCGGCAGCACGGGGAGCUUGCUCCCUGGUGGCGAGCGGCGGACGGGUGAGUAAUGCAUAGGAAUCUGCCCGGUAGUGGGGGAUAACGUGGGGAAACCCACGCUAAUACCGCAUACGUCCUACGGGAGAAAGCGGAGGCUCUUCGGACUUCGCGCUAUCGGAUGAGCCUAUGUCGGAUUAGCUGGUUGGUAAGGUAACGGCUUACCAAGGCGACGAUCCGUAGCUGGUCUGAGAGGAUGAUCAGCCACACUGGGACUGAGACACGGCCCAGACUCCUACGGGAGGCAGCAGUGGGGAAUAUUGGACAAUGGGCGAAAGCCUGAUCCAGCCAUGCCGCGUGUGUGAAGAAGGCUUUCGGGUUGUAAAGCACUUUCAGCGAGGAAGAAAGCCUUUGGGUUAAUACCCCAGAGGAAGGACAUCACUCGCAGAAGAAGCACCGGCUAACUCCGUGCCAGCAGCCGCGGUAAUACGGAGGGUGCGAGCGUUAAUCGGAAUUACUGGGCGUAAAGCGCGCGUAGGUGGCUUGGCACGCCGGUUGUGAAAGCCCCGGGCUCAACCUGGGAACGGCAUCCGGAACGGCCAGGCUAGAGUGCAGGAGAGGAAGGUAGAAUUCCCGGUGUAGCGGUGAAAUGCGUAGAGAUCGGGAGGAAUACCAGUGGCGAAGGCGGCCUUCUGGCCUGACACUGACACUGAGGUGCGAAAGCGUGGGUAGCAAACAGGAUUAGAUACCCUGGUAGUCCACGCCGUAAACGAUGUCGACUAGCCGUUGGGACCUUUAAGGACUUAGUGGCGCAGUUAACGCGAUAAGUCGACCGCCUGGGGAGUACGGCCGCAAGGUUAAAACUCAAAUGAAUUGACGGGGGCCCGCACAAGCGGUGGAGCAUGUGG